rnacentral:rRNA from 1 species
AUUGAACGCUGGCGGCAUGCUUUACACAUGCAAGUCGAACGGUAACAGGUCUUCGGAUGCUGACGAGUGGCGAACGGGUGAGUAAUGCAUCGGAACGUGCCUAGUAGUGGGGGAUAACUACUCGAAAGAGUAGCUAAUACCGCAUGAGAUCUACGGAUGAAAGCAGGGGACCUUCGGGCCUUGUGCUACUAGAGCGGCUGAUGGCAGAUUAGGUAGUUGGUGGGGUAAAGGCUUACCAAGCCUGCGAUCUGUAGCUGGUCUGAGAGGACGACCAGCCACACUGGGACUGAGACACGGCCCAGACUCCUACGGGAGGCAGCAGUGGGGAAUAUUGGACAAUGGGCGAAAGCCUGACCCAGCAAUGCCGCGUGCAGGAUGAAGGCCCUCGGGUUGUAAACUGCUUUUGUACGGAACGAAAAGCCUGGGGCUAAUAUCCCCGGGUCAUGACGGUACCGUAAGAAUAAGCACCGGCUAACUACGUGCCAGCCGCCGCCGUAAGAC